rnacentral:rRNA from 1 species
CCUACGGGAGGCAGCAGUGGGGAAUAUUGCACAAUGGGGGAAACCCUGAUGCAGCGACGCCGCGUGAGUGAUGAAGUAUUUCGUUAUGUAAAGCUCUAUCAGCAGGGAAGAAAAUGACGGUACCUGAGUAAUAAGCACCGGCUAACUACGUGCCAGCAGCCGCGGUAAUACGUAGGGGGCAAGCGUUACUCGGAUUUACUGGGUGUAAAGGGCGCGUAGACGGGAGUGCAAGUCUGGAGUGAAAGGCGGUGGCUUAACCACAGGACUGCUCUGGAAACUGUACGGCUGGAGUGCAGGAGAGGUAAGUGGAAUUCUUAGUGUAGCGGUGAAAUGCGUAGAUAUUAGGAGGAACACCAGUGGCGAAGGCGGCUUACUGGACUGUAACUGACGUUGAGGCUCGAAAGCGUGGGGAGCAAACAGGAUUAGAUACCCUUGUAGUC